ensembl:lncRNA
GUGCAUUCUGCGGGUCCCUGUCCUGGCUGGCUCCCGGCUUGUCCUGAGGGCGUGCGCGCGUGGGGUCCCAGGCAGGCGUGCCCUCCAGUGUGAGUGCGAGUGAGUGUGGCCCCACCCAGCUCUCUCUGCUCUGUGCUGCCCGCGCAGCCCGCACACUCAUCCUGCGUGGUUGCUGCUGGGUGACACCAGCAGCUCACCCUGCUUGGUUACAGCGGGUGGUUGCUGGGCCGGCCCCCUGCCUGCCAGCCUCUGGCGCACACUGGCGCUGGCGGUCGCAGAGGCCCCGCCGUGCCCCGCGUGGCCUGCUGAGCCGCCCCUGGGCCGGGGUCCCUCCGGGCCAUGCCGUGCCCAGGCGGUGCAGCGCUGCCUGUAUGACCUCCCUCCGCGGCGCGGGGAAAAGGCGACCAUCUGCCUCCAGGAGCAUGUGGCCAUCGACAUGUACCCCGGACCCAAAUCUCUGGCUACUUCCCGCGGGACCUGCCCCAUGACGCCCCCGCGUGCCUGGCCACCUCCGAAGUCGCCCGCGACGACGGCGAGGAUGGGGACCAUCUCUUCGGAGCCUAAGAAUCCAGCACUGCGCAGCAGCCCUCCAAGCCGCCAGAGGACGAGCUGGACGCCGAAGGCUACGAGUGGACGACUGCAGACCUGAAGCCCGUGGACCACAAUGGGCUGUCAGACCCCUGUGUCAAGCUGCACCUGCGGCCAGGAGCCAGGAGGAAGGUGAGGGAGUUUUACCCUGGCUUGCCCACCAGCUGUGACCACUCAUGGCGAUGGGGCCUGGACUGGGCUGGGGGCACCCAGGGAGGCCCACAGAUGCCACUCCUCCUCAGAGCCCAAGCAAGCCGAUGAGACCUCAGCCAUUUACCUCCAUGCAGAGCAGCCGGUCUGUCCCACACCUGGGAUGCCUUCCAGCAUAACCUACCUGCUGAUCUGGAGAAAGCCCUGGAGAAUUUCCAGGCUGGUUUUUUAUAAGAAGCAUUCUCAGCUGGAGGUUGCUAUGAUGUGCCAACAAAGAACUGUGGUCAGAUCACAUUGGAAAACAUUAUUAAACCAGUUUCUUUACUGCAGGACUUAACCAGAGCCUUUAAUGUGCUGAUGGGCUGUUCCUUGACUCUCAGUAAAGGGGAUGAAGUAGGCAGCAUCUGCCCAAUGUAUUUGACCACAGAAUCCUCAUUCCCACGAGAGAUGGGCCAAAAGACCAACCACAAAUGCAGUUAAGGCACCAGCACAACACAUGCAUCUAGGAGAGGAGAGAAAAAAAAUGCUAUUAAAUAAAAGCAUCAAGGUGAUCUUGAGCCAUGAAAAAUCAGAACUUCUUAGACUUACUUCCUUCUGUGCAUCCUACACUUCAGUGUUGUUUUAUUUUUAAUUUCAUAGGGCAGAAUCUGAGUUGACUUGGGGACCUAAAUGUGCAUGCCUGGGGCCCACCGCAGUCCAGGAGGACCACCCCAGAGGGGAACAUUGCGUCUUCUCUGGGGAAGGCAGGGCUGUAGGAAACACGGCAGUGCCCCACCACCUACUCCUGGGGAAGAAAUGGCUCCUCACACCAGGCCUCGAUGUCCUUACGCUGCAAGUGGAGCUCAGGGAUGUGAGAGCCAAGAGCGAGUGUAACCAGAGAAGUGUGCCCAACGGGGGGGCUCAGUGACCCCUAACUCGUGGGACUGGAGCUGGCAGGGCCUGUUGUAGGAAGUCCCCGGGACUCUCCCCAGUGUUUUAUAAAGAGCAGUCUCCUUACAGGCAAGCUCCUGAAAGCUGUGCGAGAGAGGGAUUCCUGUGUCCUUUCCACGGUGGGGAACCUGACGCUGCCACAGAGCUGGAAUUGGAACCCGGUUGCCUGACCUCCAAGCCUGGGCCGGGGUGGCGGGCAUCAGACUGAGUCAGACACGGAGCUCAGAGUCACUGGCACAGGAGAAGGAGUUGUGGCAAUGUUCCAGCUCAGAGAGGUCACUGCACGAGCAUGCCCAAGGACAGGAUGGGUUCCAGGCAAAGGGGACAGUCCGCAGAGACAGGGCAUGCCCUCGGAAGGAGACUUCAUUUCCACACCAGGCGUCCUGCAGAACCCACCCAAGGGCAUCGGGGCUGGAGCUGGGAUCCUCCUUGGAUGAAUCUCCUAUGGCUGCUGCAGCAAAUGAGCUUAGAGGCUUAGAGCAGCACACUUACUAUCUCACAGCUCUGCAGGUUAGAAGUCCAACAGCGGUCUCCCUGGGCUCAUGUCAAGGUGUUGGCAGGGCUGCAUUCCUUCUGGAGCCUGGGGAUUCCACCCAUUUCCUGGCUCUUUCCAGCUUCUAGAGGUCGCCUGCCCUCCUUGGCUGGUGGCCCCUUCCUCCAUCUUCACAGCCGUCCCGGUUGCAUCUCCCUGACCUUCUUCCUUGGUGACAUCUCGCUCUCUCUUCUCUGUUCUUUCUUCUGCUUUUAAGAAGCAUGUGACCACAUUGGGCCACUCAGACAGUCUAGGAUAAUCUCCCUAUUUUAAAGUCAGCUAAUUAACAACCCUAACUCCAUCUGCAGGCUCAGUUCCCCUUGGCAUAUCAAUAACAUAUCCACAGCUUUGGAGAUGAGGACAUGGCCAUCUCUGGGGCAUUGUUCUGUCUACCACACCCUUUGAUGCUAAUAAGAUCAUUUUUUCCUUUCUCCAGGCAAAUAAGCUCAGAACAAAACUCUCCGUAACACUGUGAACCCCGCGUGGAACAAAACCCUCAUUUCCUAUAGGAUCACAGGUGAAGACAUGACCCACAAGACCCUGCAGUGGGUGAGGGCCCUCGGCUGCCUGCUCCCUCCCCA